GGAGCCUUUUCAGCUCGUUUAGGUCCAGUGUGGCCGCAGCUGCUCAGAAACAGGACACUGAGGAGAAGAACCUGGAGCUACUGAGGAAAAUGGUGAAGAUGGGAAAUCCCAUGAAGAAAUACAUGGAACUGGGAAAUAUUGGCAGCGGGUGGCCAUAAGGAAAAUAAAUCUCCAAGGACUGAGGAAGAAGGAACUAAAAGGCAAUGAAUUCAUGUUCAUGAAGAAGAAUAGGAAUCCCAACCUGGUCAACUAUUUAGACAGCUACCUUGUGGGUAAGCAAUUCUGGCUGGUGAUGGAGUACAUGGAUGGAGGCUCUCUGAGCGAUGCCAUCAGCA